CCUACGGGAGGCUGCAGUGAGGAAUAUUGGUCAAUGGGCGCGAGCCUGAACCAGCCAAGUAGCGUGAAGGAUGACUGCCCUACGGGUUGUAAACUUCUUUUAUAAAGGAAUAAAGUGAGGCACGUGUGCCUUUUUGUAUGUACUUUAUGAAUAAGGAUCGGCUAACUCCGUGCCAGCAGCCGCGGUAAUACGGAGGAUCCGAGCGUUAUCAGGAUUUAUUGGGUUUAAAGGGUGCGUAGGCGGGUUGUUAAGUUAGCGGUGAAAGUUUGGGGCUUAACCGUAAAAUUGCAAUUGAUACUGGCGGUCUUGAGUACAGAUGAGGUAGGCGGAAUUCGUGGUGUAGCGGUGAAAUGCUUAGAUAUCACGCAGAACUCCGAUUGCGAAGGCAGCGUACCAACCUGCCACUGACAUUGAGGCACGAAAGCGUGGGUAUCAAACAGGAUUAGAUACCCCAGUAGUC
rnacentral:rRNA from 1 species